UACGAAGGGUGCAAGCGUUAAUCGGAAUUACUGGGCGUAAAGGGUGCGUAGGCGGUUGUUUAAGUCUGUCGUGAAAUCCCCGGGCUCAACCUGGGAAUGGCGAUGGAUACUGGACAGCUAGAGUGUGUCAGAGGAUGGUGGAAUUCCCGGUGUAGCGGUGAAAUGCGUAGAGAUCGGGAGGAACACCAGUGGCGAAGGCGGCUGCCUGGGCCUGGCCUGACGCUGAGGCGCGAAAGCGUGGGGAGCAAUCCGG
rnacentral:rRNA from 1 species